GAGACAGCAGUCGCCACGGUAAUACGAAGGGUGCAAGCGUUACUCGGAAUUACUGGGCGUAAAGCGUGCGUAGGUGGUGGUUUAAGUCCGUUGUGAAAGCCCUGGGCUCAACCUGGGAAUUGCAGUGGAUACUGGGUCACUAGAGUGUGGUAGAGGAUAGUGGAAUUUCCGGUGUAGCAGUGAAAUGCGUAGAGAUCGGAAGGAACAUCUGUGGCGAAGGCGACUAUCUGGGCCAACACUGACACUGAGGCACGAAAGCGUGGGGAGCAAACAGGAUUAGAUACCCCCGUAGUCCCUGUCUCUUAUAC
rnacentral:rRNA from 1 species